CCCACAGCGUUGCAGGACAUGGACCCUCU
rnacentral:piRNA from 1 species